ACAAUCUGGAGACAUCCGCAUGAACGCGGGGGCCGAAGGGGCAAGACCAGACUCUCAGGCAAAAGGACAGAUC
rnacentral:ncRNA from 1 species